rnacentral:tRNA from 2 species
GGGCCCGUAGCUCAGUCGGUUAGAGCAGUUGACUCAUAAUCAAUUGGUCGGGGGUUCAAGUCCCUCCGGGCCCACCA